rnacentral:tRNA from 1 species
GCGCGCGUAGCUCAGUGGAUAGAGCAUCUGACUUCGGAUCAGAGGGCCAGGGGUUCAAAUCCUCUCGCGCGCACCA